UGUUCUGUGGCUUAGUUGGUUAAAGCACCGGUCUAGCGAAUACGGGGGCGUGGGUUCGAAUCCCACCAGAACGC
rfam:Aedes albopictus isolate Foshan contig108470, whole genome shotgun sequence.